rnacentral:ncRNA from 1 species
GGAGCCCGAUGAUAAAAGGGAAAUCCGUGAAAACCGGAUGCAGUUCCCGCUACUGUAAGUUCCGCCCUUGCGCAAAGGGCAAGGCCGCACACUCGACAGCCACUGUUUUAAGAAGAUGUCCCAAACGGCAGCUUCCGAAGGCAACCUGACAGGCAGUUUAAAGGACGAAACAAUCGUCACCAAACACUCAGGAAAGCUUCGAUAACGGGAAGGCGUUGCGGCCGGGACGAGCCAGGAGACCUGCCGUUGCAUUU